UGGGGAAUCUUGCACAAUGGGGGCAACCCUGAUGCAGCGACGCCGCGUGAGCGAUGAAGCCCUUCGGGGCGUAAAGCUCUUUCGACCGGAACGAUAAUGACGGUACCGGGAGAAGAAGCUGCGGCUAACUACGUGCCAGCAGCCGCGGUAAUACGUAGGCAGCAAGCGUUGUUCGGAGUUACUGGGCGUAAAGAGUGCGUAGGCGGUUUUCUAAGUUCGGUGUGAAAUCUCCCGGCUUAACUGGGAGGGUGCGCCGAAGACUGGGAAGCUGGAGUGUGGGAAAGGCAGGCGGAAUUCCUGGUGUAGCGGUGAAAUGCGUAGAUAUCAGGAGGAACACCGGCGGUGUAGACGGCUUGCCAGACCAUAACUGACGCCGAGGCACGAAAGCGUGGGGAGCAAACA
rnacentral:rRNA from 1 species